GUAAAUCUUUCCUUUUCUUUGAAACCAAAUUUAUCAGAUAUUGAUCUUGACUAUGCAAUAUUUCUGUUCGAUUGCUGUGAACACUGAAACUGGUUU
rnacentral:ribozyme from 1 species